rnacentral:rRNA from 1 species
AGCGAACGCUGGCGGCAGGCCUAACACAUGCAAGUCGAACGAAGUCUUCGGACUUAGUGGCGGACGGGUGAGUAACACGUGGGAACGUGCCUUUAGGUUCGGAAUAACUCAGGGAAACUUGUGCUAAUACCGAAUGUGCCCUUCGGGGGAAAGAUUUACCGCCUUUAGAGCGGCCCGCGUCUGAUUAGCUAGUUGGUGAGGUAAAGGCUCACCAAGGCUACGAUCAGUAGCUGGUCUGAGGAUGACCAGCCACAUUGGGACUGAGACACGGCCCAAACUCCUACGGGAGGCGGCAGUGGGGAAUCUUGCGCAAUGGGCGAAAGCCUGACGCAGCCAUGCCGCGUGGAUGAUGAAGGUCUUAGGAUUGUAAAAUCCUUUCACCGGUGAAGAUAAUGACUGUAGCCGGAGAAGAAGCCCCGGCUAACUUCGUGCCAGCAGCCGCGGUAACAC